rnacentral:rRNA from 1 species
AACGAACGCUGGCGGCAGGCCUAACACAUGCAAGUCGAGCGAACCCUUCGGGGUUAGCGGCGGACGGGUUAGUAACGCGUGGGAAUAUACCCUUUGGUACGGAAUAGCCUCGGGAAACUGAGAGUAAUACCGUAUGUGCCCUUCGGGGGAAAGAUUUAUCGCCAAAGGAUUAGCCCGCGUUGGAUUAGAUAGUUGGUGGGGUAAUGGCCUACCAAGUCUACGAUCCAUAGCUGGUUUGAGAGGAUGAUCAGCAACACUGGGACUGAGACACGGCCCAGACUCCUACGGGAGGCAGCAGUGGGGAAUCUUAGACAAUGGGCGCAAGCCUGAUCUAGCCAUGCCGCGUGGACGAUGAAGGCCUUAGGGUUGUAAAGUCCUUUCAGAUGGGAAGAUAAUGACGGUACCAUCAGAAGAAGCCCCGGCUAACUCCGUGCCAGCAGCCGCGGU